rnacentral:rRNA from 1 species
GACGAACGCUGGCGGCGUGCUUAACACAUGCAAGUCGAACGGAAAGGCCCUGCUUUUGUGGGGUGCUCGAGUGGCGAACGGGUGAGUAACACGUGAGUAACCUGCCCUUGACUUUGGGAUAACUUCAGGAAACUGGGGCUAAUACCGGAUAGGAGCUCCUGCUGCAUGGUGGGGGUUGGAAAGUUUCGGCGGUUGGGGAUGGACUCGCGGCUUAUCAGCUUGUUGGUGGGGUAGUGGCUUACCAAGGCUUUGACGGGUAGCCGGCCUGAGAGGGUGACCGGCCACAUUGGGACUGAGAUACGGCCCAGACUCCUACAGGAGGCAGCAGUGGGGAAUAUUGCACAAUGGGCGGAAGCCUGAUGCAGCAACGCCGCGUGCGGGAUGACGGCCUUCGGGUUGUAAACCGCUUUCGCCUGUGACGAAGCGGGAGUGACGGUAAUGAGUAAAGAAGCACCGGCUAACUACGUG